GUAACAUCCGUGCCCACCUUCCUCUACUUCAUAUGUGGGACGCCUGCCACAGCAUGGCCUGCCAAGUGGUGCCAUGUCAGCACCCAGGAUCUGAACUGGCGAACCCCAGGCUGCCAAAGCGGAAUGUGCACACUUAAUCACUGCGCCACCAGGCCAGCCCCUCACUUCAUCUUUCUGAAUCCUGAUUUACUAGCUAUGAUCCUGGGGUCUCCAUCCCAGGAGGAGUUCCAAAGGGGGAUCUGCAUGUUUUCGUCAUUCUUGGUAUUUGCUAGACAGGAACAUCGCGCACGUUUUGACCUCUCCGAGCUUCAGUUUCCUCCUUUGCAAAGUCGGAAUGAUAACAGCUACCUUGCAGGAUUGUGACAGACCUUCCCUUGAGAAUUAGAAAUGUUGGACAACACGUAAAACCAUCAGUGUGAAGACAGUGGGGAAUGGUGAAGCCUGAAAGGGCGUUGGGAAAUCACGAUUCCUCGAAGAAGUUGCCACUGGACAAAUUCAGGAAGCUCCUCGAGUCUUCUAGGCUCUGUCUGUCUCCCAGGUCCUCAAACUUACCAUGGACGUGAAGUCACCACUCCAUCAAAAAGCUCCACAGGCUGCUUCAGCCCCCCUCGAGGUGAGCGCUCAUCUCCAGCCUGGGCUCCAUCGCUCCUGGUGUAGUGUGAGCUGCUGCAGCUGUGACGCCAGGCCCAGCGCAUCCAUCAAGGAUCUGAUUUGUCUCACCAGCUCUGGAGUUGGAUGAAGCAUGUGCUGCAAGGUUUGGGAUUUUGUUUCCCCAGUGGGUCUGAAGAGGCCAGUUGAAAAAUUUGGAAAUGCAUGGAAGUUAAUGUCUUGUGGGGUAAAUUUCGAUCAAUGAAAGUUGUCGUUCAAUGGAGGGAGCUGUUAAAUAAAUUCCUCUCUCUUUCUCCCUCUACCGGACUGUUCAAAGGGUGUUUCUGUACAGUGAGCUGCGUCUCUUCAGGAAGCUGGCUGUCUGCAGUAAUAUGCCAGUUU
rnacentral:lncRNA from 1 species